AGUAUACUCCCUCCGUCCGGAAAUACUUGUCAUCAAAAUGGAUAAAAGAAGAUGUAUCUAGACGUAUUUUAGUUCUAGAUACAUCCUGUUUUAUCCAUUUUGAUGACAAGUAUUUUCGGACGGAGGGAGUACAUA
rfam:Triticum aestivum genome assembly, contig: Triticum_aestivum_CS42_TGACv1_scaffold_221026_3B